CCUACGGGAGGCAGCAGUGGGGAAUUUUGGACAAUGGGGGCAACCCUGAUCCAGCCAUGCCGCGUGAGUGAAGAAGGCCUUCGGGUUGUAAAGCUCUUUCGGCCGGAACGAAAUCGCGCACGUGAAUAACGUGCGUGGAUGACGGUACCGGAGUAAGAAGCACCGGCUAACUACGUGCCAGCAGCCGCGGUAAUACGUAGGGUGCGAGCGUUAAUCGGAAUUACUGGGCGUAAAGCGUGCGCAGGCGGUUCGCUAAGUCAGACGUGAAAGCCCCGGGCUUAACCUGGGAACGGCGUUUGAAACUGGCGGGCUCGAGUACGGCAGAGGGGGGUGGAAUUCCACGUGUAGCAGUGAAAUGCGUAGAUAUGUGGAGGAACACCGAUGGCGAAGGCAGCCCCCUGGGCCGAUACUGACGCUCAUGCACGAAAGCGUGGGGAGCAAACAGGAUUAGAUACCCUGGUAGUCCACGCCCUAAACUAUGUCAACUAGUUGUCGGGGAAGCAAUUCCUUGGUAACGCANCUACGACGUGAGUAGUACGCCGUCGGAGGACGGUCGCGAGAUAAACUACAAGAAGUAGAGCGUGAGACGUGCCGACGGACGACGACGAGGGAGGUAGG
rnacentral:rRNA from 1 species